rnacentral:rRNA from 1 species
ACAGAGGGGGCAAGCGUUGUUCGGAAUUACUGGGCGUAAGGUGUGCGCAGGCGGCCGAGCAAGUCGAGUGUGAAAGCCCCGGGCUUAACUUGGGAACUGCGCUCGAAACUACUUGGCUGGAGUGUGGCAGAGGAAGGUGGAAUUCCAGGUGUAGCGGUGAAAUGCGUAGAGAUCUGGAGGAACACCGAUGGCGAAGGCAGCCUUCUGGGCCAACACUGACGCUCAUGCACGAAAGCGUGGGGAGCAAACAGGA